rnacentral:rRNA from 1 species
UACGGAGGAAAAGGAAACCAACAGGGAUUGCCUCAGUAACGGCGAGUGAAGCGGCAAAAGCUCAAAUUUGAAAUCUAGCACCUUCGGUGUUCGAGUUGUAAUUUGAAGAUGGUAACCUUGGGUUUGGCUCUUGUCUAUGUUCCUUGGAACAGGACGUCAUAGAGGGUGAGAAUCCCGUCUGAUGAGAUGCCCAUUCCUAUGUAAGGUGCUAUCGAAGAGUCGAGUUGUUUGGGAAUGCAGCUCUAAGUGGGUGGUAAAUUCCAUCUAAAGCUAAAUAUUGGCGAGAGACCGAUAGCGAACAAGUACAGUGAUGGAAAGAUGAAAAGAACUUUGAAAAGAGAGUGAAAAAGUACGUGAAAUUGUUGAAAGGGAAGGGCAUUAGAUCAGACUUGGUGUUUUACGAUUAUCUUCUCUUCUUGAGUUGUGCACUCGUAUUUCACUGGGCCAGCAUCGAUUCGGAUGGCAAGAUAAUGGCAGUUGAAUGUGGCUUCACUUCGGUGGAGUGUUAUAGCUUCUGCUGAUAUUGCCUGUCUGGAUCGAGGGCUGCGU